UACGGAGGAUCCAAGCGUUAUCCGGAAUCAUUGGGUUUAAAGGGUCCGUAGGCGGUCUAGUAAGUCAGUGGUGAAAGCCCAUCGCUUAACGAUGGAACGGCCAUUGAUACUGUUAGACUUGAAUUACUGGGAAGUAACUAGAAUAUGUAGUGUAGCGGUGAAAUGCUUAGAUAUUACAUGGAAUACCAAUUGCGAAGGCAGGUUACUACCAGUGGAUUGACGCUGAUGGACGAAAGCGUGGGGAGCGAACAGG
rnacentral:rRNA from 1 species